CACUUGUUUAUUUCCCUUCUUUCCCCUUAUCUCCUCACUUCACUUCACUUCACUUGGUUUGUCACGAAACAUCUCCUCCGACAUCGUCGUUAUUCAAAACCAAGUCUCGACCGAGCAUAAGUUUGCGAAGGGCAACUAUUAUCCUUCAUUAGGUCAAGCCGAACCACAUUUUCGAUCCUUGCCUUGUCUAAGAAGCUUCCAGUGCGCUGGGACAAGACUCUCAUUCUUGCGAUGAACGAAAAGCCCUGAUUCACCCGAAAAUUCUCAGUGAUGACUUCCUACACGGCUCAAAUCAACGUCCUGGGCACUGCGCAUGGUUCUUCAUUCAAGAGCCCCAAUUUCACAACCCCAAGGGCUUUGUUUUUAGGUCAGAGACUGGGCCAAACGUCGCCGUCAAAUGGCUUUAUGUUUAUGACCCCGACAUCCAAUUUCGUUAGAAGAGUCGGACAGCUUCGCAUAGUCAACGAGAAAGUUGAAGAUAUCGAUUUAGGAACAACGAACUCGGUCGUUGGGGCUUUUGAGAAAUUGAAGGAUGCAGAGAAACAAAGGAUAAAUGAGUUAGAAGAACUUGAGAACAAGGCGAAUAUGCAGUUAGAGAGACAGCUUGUCAUGGCUUCAAAUUGGAGCAGGGCCUUGUUGACUAUGCGUGGGAAGUUAAGGGGAUCAGAGUGGGAUCCUGAGAACUCACACAGGAUUGACUUCAGUGACUUUUGGAGACUCCUGAACUCAAAUAAUGUCCAGUUUAUGGAGUACUCAAACUAUGGCCAAACAAUAUCAGUGAUUCUACCUUACUACAAAGAUGAGAAAAUGGAAGGAGCGGAAGGAAAUUCAAAAAAGGAGGUUAUUUUUCGGCGUCAUAUUGUUGACCGAAUGCCAAUAGACAGUUGGAAUGAUGUUUGGCAGAAGUUGCAUCAGCAAAUAGUAAAUGUUGAGGUUCUGAAUGUUGAUACAGUACCUGCUGAAAUCUAUUCUACUGUUGCAACUGCAGUCAUAUGGUCUAUGCGGCUUGCGUUGUCUAUUGUAUUGUAUCUCUGGAUUGACAACUUGAUGCGGCCAAUUUAUGCAAAGUUAAUACCUUGUGAUUUAGGAACUCCUAGCAAAAAAACUAGGCAGCCACUCAAGCGUCGUGCACUUGGAUCAUUAGGCAAGAGCCGGGCAAAAUUUAUAUCAGCAGAAGAAUCUACUGGCAUUACCUUUGAUGAUUUUGCUGGCCAGGAAUAUAUAAAGCGGGAACUGCAGGAGAUUGUUAGAAUUUUAAAGAAUGAUGAAGAGUUUCAAGACAAAGGCAUCUAUUGCCCAAAAGGUGUACUUCUUCAUGGACCUCCAGGAACUGGCAAAACACUUCUGGCUAAAGCUAUUGCUGGCGAAGCAGGACUGCCUUUCUUUGCAGCAAAUGGCACUGAUUUUGUAGAGAUGUUUGUAGGUGUCGCAGCAUCUCGUGUCAAGGAUUUAUUUGCUAGUGCCAGAAAAUUCUCACCAUCCAUUAUAUUUAUUGAUGAGAUAGAUGCCAUUGGUAGCAAACGUGGUGGACCUGAUAUUGGUGGGGGUGGUGCAGAAAGGGAACAAGGCCUGCUUCAGAUACUAACAGAGAUGGAUGGAUUUAAAGAGUUUACCUCACAGGUGCUAGUUAUAGGUGCAACAAAUAGAUUAGAUAUCCUUGAUCCUGCUCUAUUGAGAAAGGGCCGCUUUGACAAGAUUAUAAGAGUUGGUUUGCCAUCAAAGGAUGGUAGACUGGCCAUAUUGAAGGUGCAUGCUAGAAAUAAAUUUUUUCGUUCUGAAGAGGAGAAGGAGGUUCUCCUGCAGGAAAUUGCAGAGCUUACGGAGGAUUUCACGGGUGCAGAGUUGCAGAACAUACUGAAUGAAGCUGGAAUUUUGACUGCCAGGAAGGACUUAGAUUUCAUCGGACGAGAAGAGCUUCUGGAGGCUUUGAAAAGGCAAAAGGGCACGUUUGAAACAGGUCAGGAAGAUAGUACUGAAAUUCCAGAGGAACUAAAACUGAGAUUGGCAUAUCGAGAAGCAGCUGUUGCUGUCCUUGCCUGCUACUUUCCUGAUCCAUACCACCCUUUCACUGAGACAGAUAUAAAAUCCAUCCGUAGUCAGCCAAAUAUGCGCUACACUGAAAUAUCGGGGAAGGUCUUCUCAAGAAAAUCGGAUUUUGUAAACUCUAUAGUGCGUGCAUGUGCUCCUAGAGUUAUUGAGGAGGAGAUGUUUGGAGUUGACAACUUGUGUUGGAUCUCUGCAAAGGCCACAUUAGAAGCUUCAAGGCUUGCAGAAUUUCUUAUUCUGCAGACAGGAAUGACAGCAUAUGGGAAAGCAUACUACAGGAAUCAAAGUGAUCUUGUGCCAAAUCUUGCAGCCAAGCUUGAAGCACUUCGAGAUGAAUAUAUGCGUUAUGCUGAGGACAAAUGUUCAUCUGUACUAAGGGAGUACCAUUCAGCCGUAGAGACAAUUACAGAUAUUUUACUUGAAAAGGGAGAGAUUAAAGCUGAAGAAAUUUGGGACAUAUAUAAAAGGUCUCCUCGGAUACCUCAGCCUGCAGUGAAGCCGGUUGAUGAAUAUGGAGCCCUAAUUUACGCUGGGCGAUGGGGAAUCCAUGGGGUCACACUCCCCGGGAGAGUUACAUUUUCACCUGGAAAUGCUGGAUUUUCGACCUUUGGUGCACCCCGCCCUAUGGAGACCCAACGAGUCAAUGAUAAAACUUGGAAGCUGAUAGAUAACAUAUGGGAUGAAAGGGUUCAAGAAAUUAAAGCUGAAGCUUCAGCAGAGGUUGAAGAAGACAAAGAGGUCCCACAACUUUUAAUGGCCAGCCAUUUCUUCUGAAAGAACGUUUCUUGUAAAAAGCCUGUUUUGUGAGAUCAGAGUAUGGUUGAACACGAUUUAUCCUCGAGUAUAUAGGAUGGAGUUGGCGGCAUUGUCAGAUGAAUUUCAACGAAGAUGACUGUUCUGUGCUAUGACGAAAAGCACAGGUAAUCAUAAUCAUCAUCCGGCAAACUGUAGUUUAUAGAACAGGUUAUCAAGACAUUCAAAGUCAUACUAAAAGUAGGGGUUCGAACAAAAUUAAUUUGUUGAUGAUACCAGUGUUGGAUAAAAGACAAAACGAGGAUUAUAAUGCUGUAGCAAAGAAAAGUGAUUAUGAAAAGCAGCAGGUUUUGUUUUCAGUGGGUACUGCAUGCAGGGCAGUUUUUAUUACUUUGAAAUGAGUUACCAAUACAUUCAUAUGAGCUACAGCUUUACUGAGGAGAAGUAGCUCUAGAAUUUAUUUCCCAGGGAACAAAAGAGGCUUGUAUAGGAAGGAACUGAGGCUUGAUGAAGUGUAUUAAUUCCAAGACUUCCGCUUAAUGCACUUUCUUCUCGACCA